rnacentral:rRNA from 1 species
AACGAACGCUGGCGGCAUGCCUAACACAUGCAAGUCGAACGAGACCUUCGGGUCUAGUGGCGCACGGGUGCGUAACGGGUGGGAACCUGCCCUUAGGUUCGGAAUAACUACCCGAAAGGGGGGAUAAUACCGGAUAAUUUCUUAGGACCAAAGAUUUAUCGCCUUUGGAUGGGCCCUCGUUGGAUUAGCUAGUUGGUAGGGUAAAAGCCUACCACGGCGACGAUCCAUAGCUGGUCUGAGAGGAUGAUCAGCCACACUGGGACUUAGACACGGCCCAGACUCCUACGGGAGGCAGCAGUGGGGAAUAUUGGACAAUGGGCGAAAGCCUGAUCCAGCAAUGCCGCGUGAGUGAUGAAGGCCUUAGGGUUGUAAAGCUCUUUUAACCGGGAUGAUAAUGACAGUACCGGGAGAAUAAGCUCCGGCUAACUCCGUG